GUGCUUCCUUACGAUCCACCGCGCUUUGAUUCCACAUCUUUUGUAGCUUCCAUGGAACCACCAUCAAAUCAGAGGAUAGUAUGUACAUAAAGCUUAUAUCCAGACUCUCCCACAAUCAUCACAAACUCUAUAGGCUUUCAACCAUGUGGUGUGUUGUAUAUUUGUACAACUUCACCUAGGAGAGAGCCAAAAAUUAAUGGUUGCACUGAUCUUGUGCGCAGAUUUUAUCUUAACCCAAUGAUAAUUGACCGCAAUUGAUGUGUUGUGUAACAAAUGUGAAGAAAUCAAGAUUAUGACCUUCAUUCGUGUACUUGAGACUCGGAAUCAU
rnacentral:lncRNA from 1 species